GACGAACGCUGGCGGCGUGCUUAACACAUGCAAGUCGAACGGAAAGGCCUCUUUCGGGGGGUACUCGAGUGGCGAACGGGUGAGUAACACGCGAGUAACCUGCCCUUGACUUUGGGAUAACUUCAGGAAACUGGGGCUAAUACCGGAUAGGAGCUCCUGCUGCAUGGUGGGGGUUGGAAAGUUUCGGCGGUUGGGGAUGGACUCUCGGCUUAUCAGCUUGUUGGUGGGGUAGUGGCUUACCAAGGCUUUGACGGGUAGCCGGCCUGAGAGGGUGACCGGCCACAAUGGGACUGAGAUACGGCCCAGACUCCUACGGGAGGCAGCAGUGGGGAAUAUUGCACAAUGGGUGGAAGCAUGAUGCAGCAACGCCGUGUGCGGGAUGACGGCCUUCGGGUUGUAAACCGAUUUCGCUCAUGACGAAGCUUUGUGUGACGGUAGUGGGUAAAGAAGCACCGGCUAACUACGUG
rnacentral:rRNA from 1 species